rnacentral:misc_RNA from 1 species
AAGUCGUAACAAGGUUUCCGUAGGUGAACCUGCGGAAGGAUCAUUAUCAUAACGUAUCCACGUAUAAACCAACUUCUUUAAGAUGUGAAAACGUAACUGUUUAACACCUCGAGAUAUUCAGAUCGAUUGCUGUACUAUAUUGUUUGCGUGAUUAAACCAAAAACGGUAGUAUGGACCUGUCUCUCUUAACCGGGAGGCUAGCGCUGAAUAUUUGGAGUGUAAAAUUUAAUCAAUUAUUAACCCAUUGAACCGAAUUAUUUAUUCAUUUACUGAGUAAGUUAUUCAUUUUAAUUCUAUCGUGUGAACUGAAUUGUUACUUACUUGAGUGUCGUAACUGACACGAGAGAAGUGAUUAUAUUUACGAAACAUAUAAAUUAUAUUGAACAACUCUUAGCAACGGAUAUCUUGGUUCUC